GAAUAUUGCACAAUGGGGGAAACCCUGAUGCAGCGACGCCGCGUGAGUGAUGAAGGCCUUCGGGUCGUAAAGCUCUGUUGAACGGGAAGAAACAAAUGACGGUACCGUUUAAGAAAGGAUCGGCUAACUUCGUGCCAGCAGCCGCGGUAAUACGAGGGAUCCUAGCGUUGUUCGGAAUCAUUGGGCGUAAAGAGUAUGUAGGCGGCCUAGUAAGUCAGUUGUGAAAGCCCCGGGCUCAACCCGGGAAGUGCAAUUGAUACUGCUUGGCUUGAAUGUGGAAGAGGGCAGUAGAAUUCCAGGUGUAGUGGUGAAAUACGUAGAUAUCUGGAGGAAUACCGGUGGCGAAGGCGGCUGCCUGGUCCUACAUUGACGCUGAGAUACGAAAGCGUGGGGAGCAAACAGG
rnacentral:rRNA from 1 species